rnacentral:rRNA from 1 species
UACAUAGACCUCAAGCGUUAUCCGGAUUUACUGGGCGUAAAGCGCACGUAGGCGGUUUGUUAAGUCGGAUGUGAAAUCCCUCGGCUCAACUGAGGAAGUGCACCCGAAACUGGCAGGCUUGAGUACUAAAGAGGGUCGCGGAAUUCCCGGUGUAGAGGUGAAAUUCGUAGAUAUCGGGAGGAACACCGGUGGCGAAGGCGGCGACCUGGGUAGAUACUGACGCUGAGGUGCGAAAGCGUGGGGAGCAAACAGG